UGGCAAUGAGGAUGAUAUCUCCAAUGAGUCACAGUGAUUGCUUUAUACGCUAUUCUGAGCCGACU
rnacentral:snoRNA from 1 species